ensembl:lncRNA
GUAAUACUUAAUUGUUUAUUCAUAAAUGCAAUUAUUGAAUACACCACGCACCAGCCUCCCUAUUAGGGCUCAGCUUUUCCUCUCAAUCCUACUCUACAUUCCCACUAUGGGCUGUGGUUUUUUUCUUUAUGCAGAUCAACUGAACCAAUUGCAUUUCUGUAAUCAGUGAAUUUUGACCCACACUAUUGGAGAUCUCCCAAGAUCUUCACUAUCUUCCAAUCUGAGCUGGACCAGACCCCCAGGGAAUGAGGAAUGCAGCACUGGGACAAUCUGUCAGCAGAUCAAGCGUCUGCAGUAAAACUUGUUCUUGCCCACAUUUGUGCCUCUAUUGCAAUGUUUCAUAACACAACAAUAUUAAAACAGAAAUUGUGUUUUAUUCAGCCAGUCAGGUCAUUUUUUAGAGAAUAAGCUCCUCUAAGACCAGUCCUUUAGUGCAAAGUAGAGCAAGAAUGGGAUGCUUGUAUCCCUUGGACCUCAGGACAUGCCUUCAGCUACCCCAUGGAAACCUGCUCAUUGCAUGGCAAUAAUUUAGAAGUGAGAGCAGCUCUUCCUCAUAACCACUCAUCGUGAUUCAGGUCGAAAGGUCACACUUCUGCAAAAUAAGAAGUCAAAAAGUUCCUAGUUUUACUUUUUCUUCUGUAGAGUGUGUCAGAGGGAUGUGCCAGCAGGACCUGGUUUGGGAACAAAGCACUCCACUGACAGGUGGUGCUCUCAGCUGGUGUCCGGGGUAUUUUAUGGGAUGUGCUUGCAGAUUUGGGGAAUCCCUCCCAUCUUGCCCCACGUGCAAUGGGCAAAGUGAGGUUGCAGAGUGGUUGGAUGUUUGGCACGCAUAUGGUCGGACAUUUACGGCUGCCUCCUCAGACCUACAGAGGGAUCUUGUAUAGGAAUCUCCUUUGCUUUUCCAUCAAGGGGACAAUGUGACAGCAGGGAAGGACCAGGUGCUGCCUAUAUUUCAGAGUCAUUCAUAUCUAUGUCUAUGGGAGACCUAAAAUAAGAAAGCGAACUAUGCUGUUUGCUGACUUAUCCAUCCGUUACUGAGAUUGUUCCCUACCAAAUGGGGAAAUCAGAGCAAAGUUGCAUGCUGUUCAUCAAGUGGCCUGAGCUGGAGUCACAAGGCUGAAAUACCAGCACUCUUCUGGGAAGCCCAGUGCUGAACCACUGCUACCCUGCCCAAGGGUAUUUUUAGCACCAUCAGCUGCUGCUCUCCUGCAGAACAUCAGCAGAAGGGCUGAGCAGCAUGGAGGGAUGUGGGGCAUUGCCAGCCCUGACCCCUGUGGGCUUUAGGGUUUCCUUGCACCCACUGGUGCCUCAUCACCCAGCCUGCACAGUGGUGACUGCCCUGGUAGGAAAUGUUUGCCAGGGUUGGGCUUGGGUCUGUCCUUGCAGUAAGGGAACAAGAUACAAGUGGGAUCCAAAAGGAGCUUGGUUGUGCUCUCCCUGGUGCCACUGAGAAGUUAGAUUGUGGCACAGAAGGAUGUAGUUGGUGGGCAUGGUGGGGAAUCAGUUGACAGUCGGACUUGCUGGUCUUGGUGGUCUUUUCCAACCUUAAUGAUUCUAUGAUACUCUAAGUCUAAGCCUCAUAAAUACCCAGUUAAUUUCUUUUAAAAGAUUAGCUGAUAAAUGUCAUCUUAAUGUAGAAUUUUCUGCCAUUCGGGAAAUUGGACAUGCAGAUUUGUGCAGGCCAGGAGGAUCAGCCCUCAAGAACGUGCCUCAGUGACCCACAGGGUAGAUCAGCAGUCUACCAACUGUCUCUGGCAUCCCAAUCACCAGCAUCAGAUGUGUUCGAUUGGCCAACAGACCUAAAGUCCAGCCUGUGUUGCAACCAGCUCUUGUCCUGCUGCCACGUUUCACAAUCUUGGUGGUUCUCCUUAAUUUAACUGAGUUCCCAUCAUCUCCAUGUGCUGUGGUUACAGGAUCCCAG